UGCCCAAUGCGGGAAUCGAACCCGGGUCCUAGUGGUCGAAAACCAAACGGUUUACCCAGCCUUCCACCGACCCCAACCUUCAGAUAUGAAGGC